rnacentral:lncRNA from 1 species
UGUCAACUUCUAAUAUCCUCUUGUACCAAAAUCCAAAGAUCUCUCAAUUGCACUAUUAGAUUAACGCAAAAUUUUAUAUGCACUUAUUAUAUCCAAUCACCCAAGCAUUGUCAAAUUUUGAAUCAUAGAUGUGACACCAAUUGCACAAACUAGCCAAGAGUGCUAGCCUUAAUUAUAUUGCAUAAAUUCCAAAUCACUAAUACAAAUCUUGACUUUGAAGAAUAAGUGCAAAGUCAUUCCAAACCCUUUGAAAACAAGCUUUACACCUCUAGAAUCAACUUGAAGCUAGAUCAUCAAUCCUAAUUGCCAAUCUUUGAAUGCCCUCCUACUUUAUCCUAGGCAGUCAUUUUAGUGGCUAGAGGCUUGAUUUUGACCUUGUCUCACAAAUAGUCGACCCUUGAAUAUCAAUCUAACCUAUCCUAGGGGUUUUUUAGCCCAACCCUACCCUCAACUUAAUCCUAAUAUCAACUAUGCUAAUUAUUUAUCUCUUUUAAUCUGGUUUUACCAAUUUAUGGCCUUUCUAAGGCAAUAAAAGAGUUUUUGCAACCUAGAUGGUAAAAUUACUAACCAACUU